AGCCUGAUCCAGCAUGCCGCGUGUGUGAAGAAGGCCUUCGGGUUGUAAAGCACUUUUGUCCGGAAAGAAAUGGCUCUGGUUAAUACCUGGGGUCGAUGACGGUACCGGAAGAAUAAGGACCGGCUAACUACGUGCCAGCAGCCGCGGUAAUACAUAAGGUCCAAGCGUUAAUCGGAAUUACUGGGCGUAAAGCGUGCGCAGGCGGUUGUGCAACACCGAUGUGAAAUCCCCGAACUUAACUUGGGAAUUGCAUUGGUGACUGCACGGCUAUAGUGUGUCAAACGGGGGUAGAAUUCCACAUGUAACAGUGAAAUGCGUAGAGAUGUGGAGGAAUACCGAUGGCGAAGGCUCCCCCUGGGAUAACACUGACGCUCAUGCACGAAAGCGUGGGGAGCAAACAGGAUUAGAUACCCUGGUAGUCCACGCCCUAAACGAUGUCAACUAGUUGUUGGGGAUUCAUUUCCUUAGUAACGUACCUAACGCGUGAAGUUGACCGCCUGGGGAGUACGG
rnacentral:rRNA from 1 species